CCCGGCAUUCAUGUUUUCCU
rnacentral:miRNA from 1 species